AGAGUUAGCUAGACAACCGCUGCUUUACUAUUAUUAAUAACAAUUAUACUUAGUAAUAAAGGAGAGGAAAGUCCGGGCUCCAUAGGGUAAGGUGCCAGAUAACAUCUGGGAGGUGUAAGCCUACGUUAAUGCAACAGAAAAUAAACCGCUAAUAUUAUAAAAGUAUAUGUAAGGGUGAAAAGGUGCGGUAAGAGCGCACCGCACAACUGGUAACAGUUUGUGGCAAGGUAAAUGCCACCUGGAGCAAGGCCAAAUAGGAGUUCAUAUAAUGUGGCCCGCAUAGAACUCGGGUAGGCUGCUUGAGUCAAUACGUAAUUAUUGAUCUAGAUGAAUGGUUGUCCACGACAGAACCCGGCUUAUAGGCUAACUCUAAAA
rnacentral:RNase_P_RNA from 3 species